UGUCCACGGCCACCAGUGUGUUUGUGUGAGAAAGGUGAACGCGGUCCUCCAGGAGCUCCUGGUAAAAAAGGAGAGCAAGGUUAUGAAGGAGCACCUGGUCAAAAAGGCUCAAGGGGGGAAACAGGAGCACCCGGUCUUCCAGGAAUCAACGGUCCAGAGGGAAGACCUGGGUUCAAAGGUGAUAAGG